GGAAGAUGCAAUAAGAUUUUGGAGUUCACAAAAAGGACAUGACCGAGAGCAUGUUGGUGUUGCUAUCAGGCAACAAAAAAAGUUUACGCACACAGAUGGAUCGAAGAGCUUUGCUUGUAUAGCUAAUAAGGAGGAAAAUACAUCUGGUUCCAAAGUUGGUUGAAUC